GAGGGACUUGACCCUGAACUGCAUACCUGAUGUCAGGCUUUAACCCCCUGAUGAAUUGGGAAACAAAAUAUGUGUCAGGCAUGCCCCCACUAUGCAUGUCUACUUGAAAUUGAAGUGUUUUAAAAGCAGCUGCAUAAUCUUCUACUGAGCCAACUUGUUUGAGAUCCAACAAUGCAUCUAUGGCAUAUUGAUAGUCAUAUGCUCCAAACUUUUGCUCUACAGCCUUGAUAAAUUGAUCCCAAGUGUCCACCCUAUUUUUCCUGUUGUAAACUCUAAACCACCGUGAGGCAUUUUCAUCCAUAUGCAUGACUGCCGUCAUAAUCUUCAUAUGUUCAGGUAUGUCAAAGAUCUGAAAAUAAGUUUCACACUUAUCACGCCAAAUUGUUGGGUCUUGACCUUCAAACUUGGGAAACUACAUUUUGGGCAGGGAGUUCCUGUGAGCAGCAACAUUGUGCCCAAAAGGAUGCCCACUAGUAGCAGCACGAUGAUAAUGUGGUUCCCCAAAUGCUGAAUGGUCUUGUUGAUAAUGAUUCUGACGAUGAGCAGUAUUGGUAGAUGGUGGUGGACUGUACUCAUUAUCCUGAUCGUCCUUCCUUAGCUGAUCCACGGUGAGCUUUGCUACUGCUUGACCAGUAGCCUCCAAUUGCUGGGCUAGGACUUGUUGUUCUCUCAUGGAUAGAUCGACGGCCUUACUAUUGACAUCCAACUUGACCUGCAUUUGCUGUUGAGUAAUGUGGAGGUCCUCGAUCUUGGAGAACAGUAGGUCCACAGAUUGCAUCAACCUAUCCAGUUUUGCGUCAGCCUUCGUAGCUCCCUCCGCCAUGGCGUCCAGGAGCAAUUGAGACUGCACUGAAGGUUUGGGUGGAGCUAUGGUGAAUUGCCCGUAAAUCGAUCCGUGGUGGAAUGGGAUUUACAGGAAGUCAAUCGUCGUCGCUGGUGCCGCGCAGCAAACGAUGAGACCUCAGCAAACCCACCCCAUUUACGGCUCAGAUCGACGGAGUUCUGCAAUUCGACCCAGUAGCAACCGAUCCUAGGUAUUGGGCACCAAAAUCGUCGGUAGGCAGAAGGAAUCGGAAAGGGGAACACCUGAAUCAGAGAGCCGAAGCACCCUCGCCGUGCGCCGCCUGCUCCGCCGAUGUGGUGCGCCGCCGCCGCCCCCGACACCCACGCCGAGGAAGAUGAGUCUCUGAUACCAGCUGUAAUGCCCCGUGGCCGUCGAUAGCUCGCCGGCGGCGUGAGAUCAACACAGGCAGAGAUCAGAGAAUGGCUGGGGAAGGGAAGGACCCUGAACCCCGAUAGAAUCUUUCUUUCUCAUUCAGAAAACGAUAACGAUACACUCUGUUUUUCCAUCUGACCUUUUAACAGUUUACACGCCGGCUGACAAUCUGGCCCCACCUGUCAAGCACACACGCAC
rnacentral:lncRNA from 1 species